rnacentral:rRNA from 1 species
CAGCAGCCGCGGGAAUACGUAGGUGGCAAGCGUUGUCCGGAAUUAUUGGGCGUAAAGGGCUCGCAGGCGGUUUCUUAAGUCUGAUGUGAAAGCCCCCGUCUCAACCGGGGAGGGUCAUUGGAAACUGGGAAACUUGAGUGCAGAAGAGGAGAGUGGAAUUCCACGUGUAGCGGUGAAAUGCGUAGAGAUGUGGAGGAACACCAGUGGCGAAGGCGACUCUCUGGUCUGUAACUGACGCUGAGGAGCGAAAGCGUGGGGAGCGAACAGGAUUAGAUACCCCUGUAGUCCCUGUCUCUUAUAC